rnacentral:misc_RNA from 1 species
GUUUAGAAGGUAGCUUUGUAGACUCUUACAACAAAUUAGAGGGUUAUGCUACUGAAUUGAGAAGUUGUAGGGUCUGACAUUGUGAUAGAUUUGUCUAAAGAGACACUAUCUAAUGGUUAGAUAAAAUUUCUUAGGAUGUAUAUCUGUUUCAAGGCAAUGAACCUGUGUUUUAAGUCUGGGUUAGAUGGUACGUUCCUUAAAGGAAAGGCUAAGGGACAAG